UUUAUGGAGAGUUUGAUCCUGGCUCAGGAUGAACGCUGGCGGCGUGCCUAAUACAUGCAAGUCGAGCGAACGGACGAGAAGCUUGCUUCUCUGAUGUUAGCGGCGGACGGGUGAGUAACACGUGGAUAACCUACCUAUAAGACUGGGAUAACUUCGGGAAACCGGAGCUAAUACCGGAUAAUAUUUUGAACCGCAUGGUUCAAAAGUGAAAGACGGUCUUGCUGUCACUUAUAGAUGGAUCCGCGCUGCAUUAGCUAGUUGGUAAGGUAACGGCUUACCAAGGCAACGAUGCAUAGCCGACCUGAGAGGGUGAUCGGCCACACUGGAACUGAGACACGGUCCAGACUCCUACGGGAGGCAGCAGUAGGGAAUCUUCCGCAAUGGGCGAAAGCCUGACGGAGCAACGCCGCGUGAGUGAUGAAGGUCUUCGGAUCGUAAAACUCUGUUAUUAGGGAAGAACAUAUGUGUAAGUAACUGUGCACAUCUUGACGGUACCUAAUCAGAAAGCCACGGCUAACUACGUGCCAGCAGCCGCGGUAAUACGUAGGUGGCAAGCGUUAUCCGGAAUUAUUGGGCGUAAAGCGCGCGUAGGCGGUUUUUUAAGUCUGAUGUGAAAGCCCACGGCUCAACCGUGGAGGGUCAUUGGAAACUGGAAAACUUGAGUGCAGAAGAGGAAAGUGGAAUUCCAUGUGUAGCGGUGAAAUGCGCAGAGAUAUGGAGGAACACCAGUGGCGAAGGCGACUUUCUGGUCUGUAACUGACGCUGAUGUGCGAAAGCGUGGGGAUCAAACAGGAUUAGAUACCCUGGUAGUCCACGCCGUAAACGAUGAGUGCUAAGUGUUAGGGGGUUUCCGCCCCUUAGUGCUGCAGCUAACGCAUUAAGCACUCCGCCUGGGGAAUACGACCGCAAGGUUGAAACUCAAAGGAAUUGACGGGGACCCGCACAAGCGGUGGAGCAUGUGGUUUAAUUCGAAGCAACGCGAAGAACCUUACCAAAUCUUGACAUCCUUUGACAACUCUAGAGAUAGAGCCUUCCCCUUCGGGGGACAAAGUGACAGGUGGUGCAUGGUUGUCGUCAGCUCGUGUCGUGAGAUGUUGGGUUAAGUCCCGCAACGAGCGCAACCCUUAAGCUUAGUUGCCAUCAUUAAGUUGGGCACUCUAAGUUGACUGCCGGUGACAAACCGGAGGAAGGUGGGGAUGACGUCAAAUCAUCAUGCCCCUUAUGAUUUGGGCUACACACGUGCUACAAUGGACAAUACAAAGGGCAGCGAAACCGCGAGGUCAAGCAAAUCCCAUAAAGUUGUUCUCAGUUCGGAUUGUAGUCUGCAACUCGACUACAUGAAGCUGGAAUCGCUAGUAAUCGUAGAUCAGCAUGCUACGGUGAAUACGUUCCCGGGUCUUGUACACACCGCCCGUCACACCACGAGAGUUUGUAACACCCGAAGCCGGUGGAGUAACCUUUUAGGAGCUAGCCGUCGAAGGUGGGACAAAUGAUUGGGGUGAAGUCGUAACAAGGUAGCCGUAUCGGAAGGUGCGGCUGGAUCACCUCCUUUCU
rnacentral:rRNA from 1 species